AUGCACCCUUCAGACGUUUAUCCGGCAGCGGCCCAACUCCUCUAUCCCUUAUGUUGUAGCCUGACCAGCGGCAGCUCGGUGACGAGGAAGAGUUCUUAUUCGUCACUGCGCCUCUCCUCUGCCCGCAUCUGGCUGCCCACCUCCUGCAUGUCUGUGCCUCCUUCCUCUUGGCUCCGCCGCAAACGGCAGCAGCAGCAUCACGUCCUCCUGUUCAGAAUUGGUUAUGAUCAUGGCUCAUGUAUAUUUACAAAGUCCUUUCACAUUGUUUUCCUUGUCAAUGGUCCAAUAUAUUUACUUUGUAUAAGGUGCACCGAAGGGUCGUUUGAAGGACCGAGGGACCAACAAGAGCUCAUGUAUAGUAGUUGUGGCAUGAUGAUGAAAAUCUUACCAAAGAGCAUCAGAGUUGCAGGUGGUAGCCUGGUCGAAGCAUGCACACGUAGUGGACUAGGAUGGGAAGGAAGGAGUCCGGCGCCAAGGAGGAAGAGCAUCGGGGACGAAGGAGAACUACAACGUGGGGAAGGGAAGGGCUGGACUGGUCGGCGCUGUUACUACUUAUUGUUGGUGUAA
rnacentral:rRNA from 1 species